GAUGAAGAACGUAGAGAAAUGCGAUAAGUAAUGUGAAUUGCAGAAUUCAGUGAAUCAUCGAAUCUUUGAACGCACAUUGCGCCCGCCAGUAUUCUGGCGGGCAUGCCUGUUCGAGCGUCAUUUCAACCAUCAAGCCCCAGGCUUGUGUUGGGGACCUGCGGCUGCCGCAGGCCCUGAAAACCAGUGGCGGGCUCGCUGUCACACCGGGCGUAGUAGAUUUUAUCUCGCUCAGGGCGUGCUGCGGGUUCCGGCCGUUAAAAAGCCUUUUUUACCCAAGGUUGACCUCGGAUCAGGUAGGAAGACCCGCUGAACUUAAGCAUAUCAAUAAGCGGAGGA
rnacentral:misc_RNA from 1 species